GCCCUGCUGACGAGUCCCAAACAGGACGAAACAGCUGCACAGUGC
rnacentral:hammerhead_ribozyme from 1 species